UGUAUAAAUAGAGAAGGAUAUGCAAACAUCAACAUUAUCUGCAGCGUUUCCCUGUCAGUUGUUAUCUGAGCUCGCCGAAAAGUCAAUAUGAAAGCCGUAUCUAUAAUCUGCGGACUCGUUGUCCUAAUGUUGAUGGUUGCCGCCGUCACACCAUCUUAUGGUGGGUAUAGGUCUCGCUCGUACUACCCCAGCCGUGGAUACGGCCGAAACUAUGGUGGAUAUGGCCGCAACUAUGGUGGAUACGGCCGCAACUAUGGUGGGUACGGCCGCAACUAUGGUGGAUACGGGCGCAACUAUGGUGGAUACCGCCGCAACUAUGGUGGAUACCGCAACUAUGGUGGACACGGCCGCUAUGGUGGACAGGGUUACAGAGGAAGAUAUUACGGCUAGAAGAUUUGAUAUCGACACUAUACGUAGAUGCUCGAGUACAGACAUGACUCAUGGGAUUCCGUUCAAGAUAGAGGAUGCUGAUGAUAGUGUAGAUAUUUUACAAUUUCACCGUCAUUCCAUAAGCAAUAUAUAGUAAGCGGUGAGAACAAAAUGUUCACAUCUCACCCCCAUAUCGGGACAAAGCGUAAAAUUUUACCAAUAAUUUGUAGAAUCUAUAUAAAUAUCUGAAUGUAGAAUUAGCUUAAUAUAAACAUUGGCUCAAAUAAAUUCCUAAAUCGUUUAUCGAAAAGCAAUUUCUGUGUAUUAUCAUAAUUACGGAUCCGAAUAAUUCUCGCUAACAAUACACAGUGUAUUGU